UACUGCUCAGUAACACGUGGACAACCUACCCAUAAGAAGGGCAUAACCUCGGGAAACUGAGGGUAAUUCCCUAUAGGUGAGAGAUACUGGAAUGUUCUCUCAUUUAAAGCUUCGGCGCUUAUGGAUGGGUCUGCGGUGGAUUAGGCAGUUGGCGAGGUAACGGCUCACCAAACCGAUAAUCCAUACGGGCUUUGAGAGAAGGAGCCCGGAGAAGGGGACUGAGACAAGGCCCCUAGCCCUACGGGGUGCAGCAGGCGCGAAACCUUCGCAAUGCACGCAAGUGUGACGAGGGAAUCCCGAGUGCUUCUGCUUUGCAGGAGCUUUUCUUGAGUCCAAAUAACUCGAGGAAUAAGGGGUGGGCAAGGCCCGUGCCAGUCGCCACGGUAAAACGGGCAGCUCAAGUGGUUCCCACGUAUAUUGGGCUUAAAGCGUUCGUAGCUGGUUUGCUAAGUCUUUAGUGAAAUCGUGCUGCUCAACAGUGCGGAGUGCUAAAGAUACUGACAGACUCGAGGCCGGGAGAAGACAGGGGUACUCUUGGGGUAGGGGCGAAAUCCAUCGAUCCCGGGAGGACCAACGGUGGCGAAAGCGCCUGUCUAGAACGGUCCUGACAGUGAGGGACGAAAGCUAGGGGAGCGACCCGGAUUAGAUACCCGGUUAGUCCUAGCUGUAAACGAUGUUCGCUUGGUGUCAGGCAACCCUAGAGGUUGCUUGGUACCGUAGGGAAAACCGUUAAGCGAACCGCCUGGGGAGUACGGCUGCAAGGCUGAAACUUAAAGGAAUUGGCGGGGGAGCACCACAAGGGGUGGAUGCUGCGGUUCAAUCGGACAACCCCGAGCAACUUACCGGGGACGACAGCAGUAUGAAGGCCAGUCUGAAGGGCUUGCUAGACAAGCUGAGAGGUGGUGCAUGGCCAUCGUCAGCUCGUGCUGUGAAGUGUCCAGUUAAGUCUGGCAACGAGCGAGACCCCCACC
rnacentral:rRNA from 1 species